rnacentral:snoRNA from 1 species
GCUGUUUGGGUGAUGAAGUAUACCUGGAUGUAAAACAAUUCAGUACCGCUGAGAUGCGCAAAAUUCCAUGCGGAGAAUUCCAUGUUGCCUUCCUUCUGACGAAAUGC